UACAGAGGGGGCAAGCGUUGCUCGGAAUUACUGGGCGUAAAGGGCGCGUAGGCGGAAUGGCAAGUCGGUCGUGAAAUCCUUCGGCUCAACCGAAGAACGUCGAUCGAAACUGCCGUUCUUGAGGAUUGCAGAGGAGACUGGAAUUCCCGGUGUAGCGGUGAAAUGUGUAGAGAUCGGGAGGAACACCGGUGGCGAAGGCGGGUCUCUGGGCAAUUCCUGACGCUGAGGCGCGAAAGCCAGGGGAGCGAACGGG
rnacentral:rRNA from 1 species